AGUGUAGCUCAGUGGUACAGCACUCACCUGGCACGUAAGAGGCCUUUGGUUCAAUCCCUGGCACU
rnacentral:tRNA from 1 species